rnacentral:lncRNA from 1 species
CGGGGACCGAGGCAGAGGAGGAGCGCGGCAGCGGCGGAGGCGAUCCCGCGAAUUCCUUCCAGUAAACACCUCCUGGGGGUGUCCGGAGGGCUGGGGGUGGGCGCCGCGGCGCCUACAUUAGCCCGGCCGGGCUGCGCCCAGGCGGCAGUCGGGUCGGAGCCGCCGCCGGACUCAGCGCCCCGCGCGCCCCGCGCUGCGCCCCGCGCCCGGCUCUGCGCGAUCGGCUCCCCGGCGUCGGAGGCGCGCCCGCCCGCCCGCUCGGCUCUCCGGCCGCCCUCCCCCGGGCUCCUCCGUCUCCGAGGAGCCCCGGGCGCUGCGGGGCCGCUCUCCGCCGCGGUGCCCCGCUCCCCCGCCUGCUUGCGGGGCGCGUGGGCUCGGCGGAGGUGGAGAGGGGGAGGCAGGCGGGGAGAAGAGGCGGGGGCCGCGGCGGCCGGAGCCCAGAGGAAAGUGGCAUGCCCGAGCCCUGGAGGCGGAGGUGGCGGAGGCGGCCGCGGGGAGACGAUGCCGCGGCUCCGUAGGGGAGGAAGGCGAGAGCGAGCCAGGCGAGCCGGGCGCCCGGGCGCCCGCCGGCUGCGGGGAGACGCGUGUCGCUCCGAGGGUCCGGCCUCCGCACCCCCGCGCCCCGACGCUGCGGGCGACAGGGCCGGGCUCCGGCAGCCGCCGCCGUCGCCGCCGCCGCCGCCGCCACCUGGAGGACGGAGCAAAAGUUUGGAUUUGGGGAAGGACGCGGCGCCGAGCGGAAUUCCUACCGGGGCCGCCAGGAGACCUCCAAAACCUUCGCAGCAACCACGACGCUUCACUGAGAAGAAGGGCUGUAUUCAUGAGGCACCUUUGGGACAUGGUGACAAACCACUGAGGGCUCUGCAAAGGGAGAAAGAAGGCACUUCAGCCACUAGAAGAGGUUAUCGUUUUGCCUCUGGGCAAUGUUCUUGAAUUCCCUCUAGAAAGAAAAGAGGAGCUGUGUCUACCCAAGCAGCUCCGCCAUUAUCCCACUUCCUUUCCAGCUGAGCAUCUAUUGUUAAGG